AUGCAUCUUUGAUAGUUCUGGAGUAGUUCAUGUCCGCUGCUAAGUUUUCCACUGUAGAUGCAAGAAAAAGAAAUCCUAGUGCUUCUUAUCUGUCUGGUUAUGGCAGCCAAGAUUGAAUGGGGGAAUACAGGA
rnacentral:snoRNA from 1 species